GGGCGGUUAGCUCAGUUGGUAGAGCAUCUCGUUUACACCGAGGGGGUCAUAGGUUCGAGUCCUAUACUGCCCACCA
rnacentral:tRNA from 9 species